rnacentral:rRNA from 1 species
UACGGAGGAUCCAAGCGUUAUCCGGAUUUAUUGGGUUUAAAGGGUGCGUAGGCGGAUUAGUAAGUCAGUGGUGAAAGCCUGCAGCUUAACUGUAGAAUUGCCAUUGAUACUGCUAGUCUUGAAUAUAGUUGAGGUAGGCGGAAUAUGACAUGUAGCGGUGAAAUGCUUAGAUAUGUCAUAGAACACCGAUUGCGAAGGCAGCUUGCUAAACUAUCAUUGACGCUGAGGCACGAAAGCGUGGGGAGCAAGCAGG